rnacentral:lncRNA from 1 species
AUGACAGAGGAUACGACAGAGGAUAUGACAGAUAUGAAGAGUAUGAUUAUCGCUACAGGAGGCGAUCACCUUCACCAUAUUAUAGUCGUUACAGAUCAAGAUCAAGAUCUCGUUCCUACAGUCCAAGGCGUUAUUAAGAAGAGAAGUCAGUUACAGAGCAAAUACCAUUUUUCAACAGCAUGUUCCGAUCCUAGCUUUUCCUGUUGGUUCCCUGGCAUUAUCCUGUAUCCAAUUAAGAUGUUCCUGGUUAAGAUGUAUUUUCUUUUGAAGUAUUCAUUUUCAUCUCUUCUUACUGUAAUAUUCCAGGUGUAAUUGUUGUAGUUUUAUGUACAUCUUUAAACAAAAAUUAAUGGGAAUCCCAGAGUGGUAAAAUAUUUUGUAAUUCAUGCAUUUGUUUGUUUUUUAAACAAGUGGAUUUUUGUUGACUCAUGGAGAAAGAACUGAUAUGUGCUAAUGCUUGCAUGUCAUCUUUUCAAUAGAAAACUACUAUUGUAAUAACCUCUCAUCUUUCUGGUUUAAAAAAAAUCCUCUUGUCCAGUUUGUUUCAUUUUAACACAAUUUUGGUAUAUAAAACACAGAAUUUUCCUGUAUUUUCAGUUUAAUAAUUAAAAAAUAUUGGACUGGGAUCCUUCGGAGGGGAGAAGAAAAACUUCUACCCAACACACUUUCUUUAAUGGGCUUUUGUAAAAUAAUCCCAGUGCUGCUGAGAGGAAAUUAAAAUUUGUUUUAAAUACCAGGCUAACCCACAAAGUAUUCCUCCUAUUUUUAUUAUCCCACAAUCAGGAUAAGCCUAACUGACUAAAUAAGAAAUAUUUGAUUUGUUCACACACCUCUGUAUGAAACAGAAAUUAAGAUGAUGCAGGUUCUAUUUAGUAGUAUUAUCUGAAAUUGUAAUUAUUUGACUUCUCAAAAUAAAUUUAAAUUGUAC